rnacentral:rRNA from 1 species
AUUGAACGCUGGCGGCAGGCCUAACACAUGCAAGUCGAGCGGAUGAAGGGAGCUUGCUCCUGGAUUCAGCGGCGGACGGGUGAGUAAUGCCUAGGAAUCUGCCUGGUAGUGGGGGAUAACGUCCGGAAACGGGCGCUAAUACCGCAUACGACCUGAGGGAGAAAGUGGGGGAUCUUCGGACCUCACGCGAUCAGAUGAGCCUAGGUCGGAUUAGCUAGUUGGUGGGGUAAAGGCCUACCAAGGCGACGAUCCGUAACUGGUCUGAGAGGAUGAUCAGUCACACUGGAACUGAGACACGGUCCAGACUCCUACGGGAGGCAGCAGUGGGGAAUAUUGGACAAUGGGCGAAAGCCUGAUCCAGCCAUGCCGCGUGUGUGAAGAAGGUCUUCGGAUGGUAAAGCACUUUAAGUUGGGAGGAAGGGCAGUAAGUUAAUACCUUGCUGUUUUGACGUUACCAACAGAAUAAGCACCGGCUAACUUCGUG